rnacentral:rRNA from 1 species
ACGAACGCUGGCGGCGUGCUUAACACAUGCAAGUCGAACGGUGAAGGGACCGGUUUUUGCUGGUUCUGGAUGAGUGGCGAACGGGUGAGUAACACGUGAGUAACCUGCCCCCUUCUUCUGGAUAACCGCAUGAAAGUGUGGCUACUACGGGAUAUUCUGCGCCUGCUGCAUGGUGGGUGUGGGAAAGAUAUUGUUUCGGUGGGGGAUGGGCUCGCGGCCUAUCAGCUUGUUGGUGGGGUGAUGGCCUACCAAGGCGGUGGCGGGUAGCCGGCCUGAGAGGGUGGGCGGUCACACUAGGACUGAGACGCGGCGCAGACUCCUGCGGGAGGCAGCGGUGGGGAAUAGUGCACGAUGGGCGCAAGCCUGAUGCAGCGACGCCGCGUGAGGGAUGGAGUCCUUCGGGUUGUAAACCUCUUUCGCCAGUGAAGCAGGCCUGUCCCUUUUGUGGGUGGGUUGACGGUAGCUGGAGAAGAAGCGCCGGCUAACUACGUG